rnacentral:rRNA from 1 species
UACCAGCACCCCGAGUGGUCGGGACGAUUAUUGGGCCUAAAGCAUCCGUAGCCGGUUUUACAAGUCUUCCGUUAAAUCCACCUGCUCAACAGUUGGGCUGCGGAGGAUACUAUAGAGCUAGGAGGCGGGAGAGGCAAGCGGUACUUAGUGGGUAGGGGUAAAAUCCGUUGAUCCAUUGAAGACCACCAGUGGCGAAGGCGGCUUGCCAGAACGCACUCGACGGUGAGGGAUGAAAGCUGGGGGAGCAAACCGGG